rnacentral:tRNA from 1 species
GGUGAGCUAGCUCAGUGGUUACAGCUUAGGGCUUGAAACCGCGAGGUCUCGGGUUCGAAUCUCUCCCAUAUUU